rnacentral:rRNA from 1 species
GUCUACCGCCAUGCUACCCUAAAUAAGCUUGAUCCUGUCUGAUCUCAGAAGCUAAGCAGGGUCAGGCCUGGUUAGUACUUGGAUGGGAGACCAUCUAGGAAAACCAGGUGCUAUAGGCA